UAACAAGGUUUCCGUAGGUGAACCUGCGGAAGGAUCAUUGUCGAAACCUGCCCGACAGAACGACCCGCGAACUCGUGAUUACGCUCGGGGGGGUCCGCCGCGGGUCGCUCGAGCUCCGCGAGUUCCGGCGACCCCAGCUGCCCCCCCGCACGUCGCGGCGGGCGAGCCCCGUCUCGCCCCUCGUGGCGGAACAACGAACCCCGGCGCGGACUGCGCCAAGGAAAAUCCAACGAGGGAGCACGCAUGGCGGCCGCGGCCCCGGACACGGUGCCCGUGCGCGAUGCGCUGCCUUCUUUCGACGAAAAUACGAAACGACUCUCGGCAACGGAUAUCUCGGCUCUCGCAUCGAU
rnacentral:misc_RNA from 1 species